UCCGAUAUGGUGUAGCGGUAACAUUACCGCCUCUCAUGAUCUGCUCUUUGGCUUCCGCGGUAGCCCGGGGUUCGACCCCCCGUGUCGGAA